CUUGCAUACAGACUGCUGCCACGCCAGCUGGCUAGGUUGCUCUUUUUUAUCUUUCAGUUUGUUCAUAUGGUGGAUCACAUUUAUCAAUUAUGUAUCCUGACAUAUAUCUGCAUCUCUAGGAGGAAGCCCAAUGAUCAUGGUAGAUGAUAGUUUUGAUGUGUUGUGGAUUCUAUUUGCUAAUAUUUUUGCACCUACAUACAGUGAGACACAACUGCUCCUGGCACACCAAUUUUGUCAGAAUGGAGGAUGGGCAUCAAAGAAACUCAUUAUGGAGUUUGCUUUCAACAUGGCAAGAUUAGCCAUUUGGGCAAGAAACUGCCCUUGUCUGGACUGUUUGUUGCUGUAUAAACUGGACAUGGAGGACACACAAGAAAGGGACUGCUAAACUUACAAAACAAGACAUUACUGAUGGGUUCCUGUUGAAAUGGAGAAGUGUGCCAGACACACUGUGGCCUAUAGGCUGAAGAUGGAUGCCUCAACGUUUCAGAGGAACUUUGAACAGAGGACUGUCCAGGUAGCCUGAUGUCUCUGUCAAUUCUAGAGUUUAUAUAUUAUCCUUCUGUGGUAUUUGAUAGAGUUGAAGACAGAUAGUUAUGGUUAUAGUUUUCUUCAGUUAUUAUAAAAGAUAAGUUACCCAUCUUUUUAUUUAGACAGAAAAGAGGAGAUGACGGGGAAGUACUUCUGUGUAUGUUUAUCUUAUUGAUUGUUUAAUAAAGUUAUGUUUGGCCAAUGAAACAGCAAGUUAGACAGAACUAGGAGUCAGAGGAUUCUAGGAAAUAUAGUAGAGAAGUGGUGAUCCAGGCAGGAAGUGACAUAGCAAGGAGACUCAUAUUAAGCAAGGAGAAACAGGAAGUGUCCCUUUUCCCUUUUCGCCUGCUCCAGCAGUGCCAUGUGAGCCACCGGCAAGAGAGGGUGCCAGUGGAAGGCAUCCCUAUAAGAUAAGUCUUAUAAAAUAUAUAGAUUUAUGAUAAUUAAGACUGAGCUAACAGAUGAGAAAUCCUAGUCAUUGGCCAAGCAGCUUUGUACCUAAUAUGUCUCUAUAUUAUUUUGUCCAUCCACACAGCAGGUAGAACUCGGGCGGCUGGCAGAGACCACCCAUGUGGCGGUAGGGAUUGGGCAGCUUUUGGAGGAAAGAUUUAUAGUAACAAUGGAUGAGAUAACAAAAUUCUGCAGAGACCUUAUUAGACACUUGCAAAUGAUUUUGAGAGAAAUGUCUAGAGAAAUAAAUCCAGCACAUAUAACAAAGUAUGUGUUGUUUGGGGAUGGGGAAACAAUUUUAGUAGAAAAUUCUUUAUGACCCAAGUGUGUGGGGUUUGCUUGUGUGUAAGGUGCUGCUUGUCCCACAUAUUUCUUCUAUAAUAUGAAUAUAUAUGUAAACAAUUCUUUAUCCCUUAUUAUUAUUAUAAUGCUAUUAAAGCCACAAGACACAUGCAAACUAUCUGGGCAUUGAUGGUGUAUGUCUUUAAUCCUAGCAUUCAGGAGCAGAGGCACGUGGAUCUCUGUGAGUUUU
rnacentral:lncRNA from 1 species